GUUUUAAUAGUUUAAAUAAAACAAUGAUUUUGUAAAUCAUAAAUAGGACUACCUUUAAAACA
rnacentral:tRNA from 1 species